rnacentral:rRNA from 1 species
GAGAGUUUGAUCCUGGCUCAGAAUCAACGCUGGCGGCGUGCCUAACACAUGCAAGUCGAACGAGAAAGUGGAGCAAUCCAUGAGUACAGUGGCGACCGGGUGAGUAACACGUGACUAACCUACCUUCUUGUGGGGGAUAACCUCGGGAAACCGGGGCUAAUACCGCAUAACAUCUCUGGGAUGAAAAGCCGGAGAUCAAAGGAGCAAUUCGCAGGAAGAGGGGGUCGCGGCUGAUUAGCUAGUUGGUGAGGUAACGGCUCACCAAGGCGAUGAUCGGUAGCCGGCCUGAGAGGGCGCACGGCCACACUGGAACUGAAACACGGUCCAGACUCCUACGGGAGGCAGCAGUGGGGAAUUUUGCGCAAUGGGGGAAACCCUGACGCA